rnacentral:rRNA from 1 species
UAGGGAAUCUUCGGCAAUGGGGGGAACCCUGACCGAGCAACGCCGCGUGAGUGAAGAAGGUUUUCGGAUCGUAAAGCUCUGUUGUUAAGGAAGAACGAGUGUGAGAAUGGAAAGUUCAUGCUGUGACGGUACUUAACCAGAAAGGGACGGCUAACUACGUGCCAGCAGCCGCGGUAAUACGUAGGUCCCGAGCGUUGUCCGGAUUUAUUGGGCGUAAAGCGAGCGCAGGCGGUUAGAAAAGUCUGAAGUGAAAGGCAGUGGCUCAACCAUUGUAGGCUUUGGAAACUGUUUAACUUGAGUGCCGAAGGGGAGAGUGGAAUUCCAUGUGUAGCGGUGAAAUGCGUAGAUAUAUGGAGGAACACCGGUGGCGAAAGCGGCUCUCUGGUCUGUAACUGACGCUGAGGCUCGAAAGCGUGGGGAGCGAACAGG